rnacentral:rRNA from 1 species
GACGAACGCUGGCGGCGCACCUAACACAUGCAAGUCGAGGGAGAACCGACCUUGGUCGGGGAGGACCGGCGAACGGGUGAGUAACACGUGAGGAACCUGCCCUCGUAGACCGGAAUAACCAACGGGAAACUAGUGGCUAAUGCCGGAUGGUCUCGGAUGACCGCAUGGAUGUCCGAGGAAAUGGUCUGCCGCUACAGGAUGGCCUCGCGGCCUAUCAGCUAGUUGGUGAGGUAACGGCNCACCAAGGCGACGACGGGUAGCUGGCGUGAGAGCGCGACCAGCCACACUGGGACUGAGACACGGCCCAGACUCCUACGGGAGGGCAGCAGUGGGGAAUCUUGCGCAAUGGGCGAAAGCCUGACGCAGCAACGCCGCGUGGAGGAUGAAGGCCCUUGGGUUGUAAACUCCUGUCGGCUGGGAAGAAGUUGUUCGCGGUUAAUACCCGCGGACAUUGACUGUACCA